AUUGAACGCUGGCGGCAGGCCUAACACAUGCAAGUCGAGCGGAUGAAGGGAGCUUGCUCCUGGAUUCAGCGGCGGACGGGUGAGUAAUGCCUAGGAAUCUGCCUGGUAGUGGGGGAUAACGUCCGGAAACGGGCGCUAAUACCGCAUACGUCCUGAGGGAGAAAGUGGGGGAUCUUCGGACCUCACGCUAUCAGAUGAGCCUAGGUCGGAUUAGCUAGUUGGUGGGGUAAGGGCCUACCAAGGCGACGAUCCGUAACUGGUCUGAGAGGAUGAUCAGUCACACUGGAACUGAGACACGGUCCAGACUCCUACGGGAGGCAGCAGUGGGGAAUAUUGGACAAUGGGCGAAAGCCUGAUCCAGCCAUGCCGCGUGUGUGGAGAAGGUCUUCGGAUUGUAAAGCACUUUAAGUUGGGAGGAAGGGCAGUAAGUUAAUACCUUGCUGUUUUGACGUUACCAACAGAAUAAGCACCGGCUAACUUCGUG
rnacentral:rRNA from 1 species